UACAGAGGGGGCAAGCGUUAUUCGGAAUUAUUGGGCGUAAAGGGCGCGUAGGCGGCUUGGCAAGUGGAAGGUGAAAUCCCUCGGCUUAACCGAGGAACUGCCCUCCAAACUGCUUGGCUUGAGACCGGGAGAGGUGAGUGGAAUUCCCAGUGUAGCGGUGAAAUGCGUAGAUAUUGGGAGGAACACCAGUGGCGAAGGCGGCUCACUGGACCGGUACUGACGCUGAGGCGCGAAAGCGUGGGGGGCAAACAGG
rnacentral:rRNA from 1 species